rnacentral:rRNA from 1 species
AGCAGCCGCGGUAAUUCCAGCUCCAAUAGCGUAUAUUAAAGUUGUUGCAGUUAAAAAGCUCGUAGUUGAACUUCGGGGUUUACCCAUUGGUCAGGCUUAAUUGUCUGUACUGGUGAGAUAAAUCUCUACCUUCUGAGGAACUUUCAUGUCAUUAAUUUGGUGUGAUUGGAAAUCAGGACUGUUACUUUGAAAAAUUGAGUGUUUAAAGCAGGCUAACGUCUGAAUACAUUAGCAUGGAAUAAUGAAAUAGGACGGACUGAUUCUAUUUCGUUGGUUUCUAGGAUCACCGUAAUGAUUAAUAGGGAUAGUUGGGGGCAUUAGUAUUCAAUUGUCAGAGGUGAAAUUCUUGGAUUUAUUGAAGACUAACUACUGCGAAAGCAUUUGCCAAGGAUGUUUUCAUUAAUCAAGAACGAAAGUUAGGGGAUCGAAGACGAUCAGAUACCGUCGUAGUCUUAACCAUAAACUAUGCCGACUAGGGAUGGACGAAGUUAAUUUAUAAUGACGCGUUCGGCACCUUACG